rnacentral:tRNA from 1 species
AAAGAAUUAGUUUAAAAUUUUAAAUAUUAAAUUGUCAAUUUAAAGAUAUUUUUACAAAUAUUCUUUA